rnacentral:rRNA from 1 species
GACGUAGGUGGCGAGCGUUGUUCGGAAUCACUGGGCAUAAAGCGCACGUAGGCGGCUAGGUAAGUCGGAUGUGAAAUACCUCGGCUCAACCGAGGAACUGCGUCCGAUACUGCCUGGCUUGAGGUCCGGAGGGGAGAGUGGAAUUCCCGGUGGAGCGGUGAAAUGCGUAGAGAUCGGGAAGAACGCCGGCGGCGAAAGCGACUCUCUGGUCGGAAUCUGACGCUGAGGUGCGAAAGCUAGGGGAGCAAACGGG